UCACAAAAUUACCGGUGUUCUUCAGUCCUAGUGUGGAUUUUUGGCUAGAAAGUCCACGGUGUUCUUCAGUUUAUUUGCAAUUUGUCUUUCAUCUUCUCCCAUUUCGAUUUUGUAUAACCAGGUAUUUUUGUAUUUUGUAAAUUACAUGUGGGUUUUCACUUUAUUUUUGUGUUGUUUUGGAUAUUCUCUGUUGGAUUUGAGGUUUCUCUAUGUAUUUGUAGUUUUUUGGUUGAUUUGGGGUUUCUAUGUUGAUUAUAUGCAAUUUAUUAGCUUGAUUUCUCAAUAAACCUAGACUUUUCUGGCAUGCAAUCUUUUUUAUUGCCUCAAUAGUACUUUAAGAAUACAUUACUACUUCGUCGCUUCUUUCAUGUGGCAUGCAAUCUUCUUUAUUGCCUCAAUAACACUUUAAGAAUACAUUACUACUUCGUCGCUUCUUUCAUGUUCUGUCGCUGUGUUUUUUCAGUUUUGGUUAGUUUUUUCUCCAUUAUUUCUUUAAUUGCUGCACUGGUAUGCCUAAUUUUUGCUUAGAGAAGACAACAAAAUAAAUGUAAGCAGAUAGUGACACAUUCCUACUUGUUCUGCAUAUUCAAGCUCUGUUAUGGUACCAAAAAAAAAGAAGAAGAAAUUAUGUUAGUAGUCUAGUUGAAGGCAUCAGUAGUCUAGUUGAAGGCGUCAAUCAACUUAGUAACAGUUAAGUUACAAAAAGAUGUUACAAAUACUUGCUGUUCUUAAUCUAUAAUUCUAUUCUAACUAAAUUUUAUUUUAAGAGUUCAAUGAUUCAUAACUGGCAUACUACACAGGGUCACAGACAUCUGUUCUGGUUUGAUGCAAUUCUCUGUUGUUGCAAUGGCGAUCUUAAUUGUCCAUCGAGUCCUUGUAGCCACUGAUUUAGUAGUGGUAGAUGAGGUCUGUGUACAUAUGUGCUGUCAUGUUCAGGGAAUGAAGCAUGGCUUCUCCUUGUUUGUUGAAUUUGAACACACAUAAUCCUCCAUUAUUUAUAUCCACAGAACGAAACCUGAAUCAAUAUAAAAUUAGACCUGUCAACAAUAGUGGCUGAAGAAAUUACACAUAAUCCUCCAUUAUUUAUAUCUACUGAACGAAACCUGAAUCAAUAUAAAAUUAGACCUGUCAAUAAUAGUGGCUGAAGAAACCAUCUUUUAUAUGUACUACAAUUUAAUUGUAAGAAUAGAUUAAAGAAUACAUGUAAUUUUCAUAGUGACGAAAGAAAGUUUUGGUAUACGCUUGGGUUGAUUUUAAUAUCUGUAGGAACAUUUGGCUUGGCAGCUGUUAAAACUAAAGGGUUAUUUUAAUUUUCUGUGCGGAAUAUCAUUAGAGUUAAUCGUAUAGGGGAUAUGGGAAUAAGAUAACAAGACUCUUUUCAAUAUUUUUGUUCUAUGGUCCAGUAAAGGUAUUUCAUAAUUAGAUGUAUGAGUUCUGUUAUAAGUGUUGAAAGGCCAAAUCUCAUUUCUGUUUUGAAAAUCAUAAUUUGUAUAACUUUUACACAUUUAAAUCAAGUGUUGGAAGGCCAGAUCUCAUCUCUGUUUUGGAAAUUAUAACUUGUAUAACUUUUACACAUUUAAAUAUACAUUCCAUCUACUCAUUCUCUUAUAACUAGCUACUUGAGUACUACAUCUUAACUGAAGAAAAGCUAUUGCAUGUGGUAUGUUACUUAGAAGGUGACCAAUUUUCAAUUCUCAUCUGGAUAAUAUCACAACUUCUUCUGUUUACUUUUGUUGGUUAGCUUUUGGUUUCCUUUACUUUUUGUUGUCUUAUGAAGUGUUAAAUAUGUCUCUAAUCUUAUAGCUUUGAAAAUUUUGUAGGUGAUAUUGUUUCCCACUAAUCUAUUUUUUCAAGGGAUAAGUCUUGGAUUAGAAUGUCGAGGCACACACCAGAAUAUUUAC
rnacentral:lncRNA from 1 species